AGCCUCUUUGGUCCAAACAGUUAGAAAGCCACUGUUUAAGUGGAAGAACGGUGGCUUUCUAAUUGUUUGGACCAAAGAGGUU